GGAAUAUGUCAUUUAAGUAACUAUAGAUACUCUUAAUUUUCAGCACAAUAUUUUAGGAAUGACUUUCCUGUAAAAAGUAAACAAUUCCACAAUCCCCUACUGGUUGCAUUAUAUUUAACAUGCUCUGGUUUAGGGUUGAACAAGAUACUUGACUUCUCCCUGCCACCCCUACCUAAAAUCUUCAAAAUAUUUACAUUGAUUAGACAAGCUACAACCAACAGUUUCUACCAAUUACAGAAAUAAUGUAUUGGGACACCUGGGUGGCUCAGUUGGUU